rnacentral:lncRNA from 1 species
UUACUGUUAUAAUUGCAUGUCCAAAUAUUAAAAACUUAUUGUAUAUAUAUAAUAUGUAUAUUAUCUUGAAAUUAGUCCAAGUCAAGUCGACGAUUGAUUCUAUUGUGUUUUGAUUAUUUAUACUAAUAAUAAAUUAUAGAAAGCUGAGAAUUUUAUAGAUAUCCAUAUUAUGAUUCAACUUUCUACGUUACAUCAGCGUUACAUCAGCGUUACGUCGUAGCGCACGUGUGCGACGUAAGAUGAAAGAACGAUUAAUAGAGAUCGAUAGAGUUCUCCUACGCUAUUAUUGAACUUUUUGAUGAUUUCCGAAUAUUAGUGAAAGUUUUCAUCUGUCGCGUCAACGUUUGAUUACCACACAAAUAAAUAAGAAAAGAAUAAGAGAGAAAGAGGGAAAGAGAGUGGGGGAUGGAAUGAAAGAGAGAAGGAGCGAGAAGGAGCGACCGGUAGAGAAAGGAUUACAUCGUAACAUGACAAGGAUAGAAAUUUCACCAGAAACCGGCGCGUAUAACCGUGCAACCUCAGGUUUCCCCGGUGGAUGGUUCACUGUCACUUUCGAGUCGGCAGUCCGAUACGAGGAUACAACCGCGUCAGUUCCAUAGUGCGAGUGGUCCACGAAGUGUGCCAGUGGCACACCAAGCGAGUUAUUGCUUUACGAUCCAUCCGCAAACCAAAUUCGUAUCCUCGUCGACGUAUCAGAGGCGUGAAUAAAAUUAUGACUUUCCAAAGUAUCAAAAUUAGGACACGGAAUGGUUCAGACUGAAUAUUACCGAAUUAACGAUUAACGAAUAGAAUAUGUGCUUAAAUAACGAAUCAUGAAGCGAAGGGAAGAAAAUUGAAGGAAGAAGAAAUACAUUCCGAACUAACCUGAUCUGUGAUAACUGAUCUGUGAAAAAUAAUAAAAGAAGAAAUAGUCGAAAUCUCAGAGAAUCAGCAGAAUAUCAUCAUAAAUUAAUGUAUAUAUAUACAUAUUUCCAGUAUAUAUAUGUAUGUACAUACACACUGGAAGAAGAAGAGAAGCACAAUCGAAGAGAAAGAAGAAUGAAGUCAUGGAAGUUCACGCGAUGAAGAUAAUCCGAUUGCUCGAAGAAUAUGUAAGCAUUCGAGAAGUGUGAAAAACGGCCAUCUAAACAAUCUGGUGUUAUCUGAACAAGUUAUGGCGCAUAGUAUAACAAAGAGAAAAGAAAGAGACAGUAAGAAAAAUUGAUCGAAUCGAAUGUGAAUUUACAGUAUGUUUGCGACAAUAAAAAUAGGAUUUAUUGAAAAAAAUAAUAAAAAAAGAAGAGCUUAAGAAGUCUAACAAAAUCACCUAACGAAAUUUUCAAAAAAGAACGAAUAGACUAUUAAAAAGGAUUAUAACUAUUUGAUAUUAAUAAUUAUAAUGGGGAUUAAUGAGGAAAACAACAUCUACAAGAUUCAAUAGUGAACUACAGUAAGAUAAAAACGAAAAAAGAAAGAAAGAAAUAGAAAGCAAUUCUGAAAAACAUUACCUAAGGAAAUUCACAAAUAAAUUGCCUUAAUAAAUUGUGUGAAUGCAUUUAAUGUCAUGAACCAAUUUGAGAGAUAAUUGGAUAAAUCGAGAAAGAAAUUUAAAAAAAGAAAGAACUAAGUUCUCUAUGAAUAAGGCUUGAAAAGAUUUUCGCCUACCUCAAGAUUUAUUUCACUACGUCAUUUUUAUCAGCUACAUAUUUAUCGCGAAUCUCUUGUGUCAAACAAAAUGCGGAUUGAAAUAUAGAUAUUGAGGACAGGUUAAAUCGUGAUGCAAAAGGUCAACAUACCGAACGAACGACUUAAGGAAGCCGCCGAAGAAGCCACUGGCGGCAGCAAAAAGUCACGGCCAGAUAUGGAGUCUUCGAAACAUCACGUCCGACAUUACAAAUAAAAAGUUUAUCUCGUAAGAUAUAAAACUUCAUGUAUUAAAUUGUAAUUUGUGAGGUACAAAGGUGCUAUAUGUUUAAAGUUUAAAAGUUUUGUAUGUAAAUACUUUUUUUUAGUUUUACGGAACGAAAUCUUGCGGAAGAAUAAUUCUUGUAGUGGUAUUACGACGUUGAUUACAUCCAAUGCUAACCAAGAUCGUUACAAAAUAAAACCAAAAGAAAAUCUUGAACCGAUAUUAUGAU